rnacentral:rRNA from 1 species
AUGGAUAAGCGCUGAAAGCAUCUAAGCGCGAAGCCAACUUCAAGAUAAGAUUUCCCACCGCAAGGGUAAGACCCCAGAAAGACUAUCUGGUUGAUAGGUCGAAGGUGUAAGUGCAGCAAUGUAUUUAGCUUAUCGAUACUAAUAGGUCGAGGACUUGACCAAU